AGAGUUUGAUCAUGGCUCAGGAUAAACGCUGGCGGCGUGCCUAACACAUGCAAGUCGAACGCUCUACUUCGGUAGGGAGUGGCGGACGGGUGAGGAACACGUGGGUCAUCUACCUUGAGGUGAGGAAUACCGGCGAGAAAUCGCCGACAAUACCGCAUGACCUUGGGAACAAGGAAAGCUCGCAAGAGCGCCACAAGAUG
rnacentral:rRNA from 1 species